rfam:Turneriella parva DSM 21527, complete genome.
UCUGUGCGCAAUAGAGCAAGGGUCACACCCGUUCCCAUCCCGAACACGGAAGUUAAGACUUGCAUCGCCAAUGGUACUCGGUUCUUCGGAGCCCGGGAGAGUAGGACGCGCACAGGU